GACGAACGCUGGCGGCGUGCUUAACACAUGCAAGUCGAACGGAAAGGCCCUGCUUUUGUGGGGUGCUCGAGUGGCGAACGGGUGAGUAACACGUGAGUAACCUGCCCUUGACUUUGGGAUAACUUCAGGAAACUGGGGCUAAUACCGGAUAGGAGCUCCUGCUGCAUGGUGGGGGUUGGAAAGUUUCGGCGGUUGGGGAUGGACUCGCGGCUUAUCAGCUUGUUGGUGGGGUAGUGGCUUACCAAGGCUUUGACGGGUAGCCGGCCUGAGAGGGUGACCGGCCACAUUGGGACUGAGAUACGGCCCAGACUCCUACGGGAGGCAGCAGUGGGGAAUAUUGCACAAUGGGCGGAAGCCUGAUGCAGCAACGCCGCGUGCGGGAUGACGGCCUUCGGGUUGUAAACCGCUUUCGCCUGUGACGAAGCGUGAGUGACGGUAAUGGGUAAAGAAGCACCGGCUAACUACGUGCCAGCAGCCGCGGUGAUACGUAGGGUGCGAGCGUUGUCCGGAUUUAUUGGGCGUAAAGGGCUCGUAGGUGGUUGAUCGCGUCGGAAGUGUAAUCUUGGGGCUUAACCCUGAGCGUGCUUUCGAUACGGGUUGACUUGAGGAAGGUAGGGGAGAAUGGAAUUCCUGGUGGAGCGGUGGAAUGCGCAGAUAUCAGGAGGAACACCAGUGGCGAAGGCGGUUCUCUGGGCCUUUCCUGACGCUGAGGAGCGAAAGCGUGGGGAGCGAACAGGCUUAGAUACCCUGGUAGUCCACGCUGUAAACGGUGGGUACUAGGUGUGGGGUCCAUUCCACGGGUUCUGUGCCGUAGCUAACGCUUUAAGUACCCCGCCUGGGGAGUACGGCCGCAAGGCUAAAACUCAAAGGAAUUGACGGGGCCCCGCACAAGCGGCGGAGCAUGCGGAUUAAUUCGAUGCAACGCGUAGAACCUUACCUGGGUUUGACAUGGAUCGGGAGUGCUCAGAGAUGGGUGUGCCUCUUUUGGGGUCGGUUCACAGGUGGUGCAUGGCUGUCGUCAGCUCGUGUCGUGAGAUGUUGGGUUAAGUCCCGCAACGAGCGCAACCCUUGUUCACUGUUGCCAGCACGUUAUGGUGGGGACUCAGUGGAGACCGCCGGGGUCAACUCGGAGGAAGGUGGGGAUGACGUCAAGUCAUCAUGCCCCUUAUGUCCAGGGCUUCACGCAUGCUACAAUGGCUGGUACAGAGAGUGGCGAGCCUGUGAGGGUGAGCGAAUCUCGGAAAGUCGGUCUCAGUUCGGAUUGGGGUCUGCAACUCGACCUCAUGAAGUCGGAGUCGCUAGUAAUCGCAGAUCAGCAACGCUGCGGUGAAUACGUUCCCGGG
rnacentral:rRNA from 1 species